rnacentral:RNase_P_RNA from 1 species
AAGAGUAGGCGCAGCGGUUGCGGAACAGCUUUAACUGCUGUUCUGAGGAAAGUCCGGACUCCCGAAAGACCAAACUUGCUGGGUAACGCCCAGUGCGGGCGACCGUGAGGAUAGUGCCACAGAAACAUACCGCCGAUAGACGAGGAGCGAGGAGCGAGGAGUGAGGAGCGAGGUACAAAUUAAACCCUAACCCCUAACCCCUAACUCCUAACCCCUCUUAAAGGUAAGGGUGCAAAGGUGCGGUAAGAGCGCACCAGCAGCGUCGAGAGGCGCUGGCUCGGUAAACCCCAGUUGGGAGCAAGGUCGGAGGAACUAUGGUUGGUCUUUUACCAGUUCCGUUAUUGGAGAACCGCUAGAGGCGUCUGGUAACAGACGUCCCAGAUAGAUAACCGCACUUUGCUAGCAACAUUGUUGUUAGGAAGCAACAGAACCCGGCUUAUGUCUUGCUCUUUCCC